CCAGAUCAGCCUGGCCAACAUAGUGAAACCUCGUCUGUACUAAAAAUACAAUAAUUAGCUGGGAAUGUUGGUGCAUGCCUGUGGUCCCAGCGACUCAGGAAGCUGAGGCAAGGAAUCGCUGGAACCAGGGAGGCAGAGGUUGCCCUGAGCCGAGAUCACACCACUGCACUCCAGCCUGGGCAACAGAGCAAGACUCCAUCUCAAGAAAAAAAAAAAAAUCCAAUUAGGAAAAAAGUGCACUCAAGCUAGUUUCUCACACAUGACACACCUGUUCUUCAGUAAGACGUUGCCAUUUGAGAAGGAUGUCUUGUAAAAGAACCCAGCGGUCUUCUGUCCAUCUACAGAUGUUUGCCCAUCGAUCUCCCAAUACCUGGAGAAGAGACAAUCAAGCACAGCAUCAGCAAACAAUUGACAGAGUUUUGCUCCUGUCACCCAGGCUGGAGUGCAAUGGCACUAUCUCAGCUCACUGCAACCUCCACCUCCUGGAUUCAGGGAAUUCUCCUGCCUCAGCCUCCCCAGUAGCUGAGAUUACAGGCAUCCACCACCAUGUCUGGCUAAUUUUUGUAUUUU
rnacentral:lncRNA from 10 species